AUAUCACUUUGAAACAUCGGUUCUCGUACGAUCACCAAAGUUAAGCAACGCCGAGCCUGAAGAGUACAUAGGUAGGUGAACGCUUGGGAAUAUCAGGUACUGUAA